rnacentral:rRNA from 1 species
GACGAACCGUGCAAACGUUGUUCGGAAUCACUGGGCUUAAAGGGCGCGUAGGCGGCUCAUCAAGUCGGGGGUGAAAUACUUCAGCUUAACUGGAGAAGUGCCUUCGAUACUGGUGGGCUUGAGGGAGGUAGGGGUCUUUGGAACUUCUGGUGGAGCGGUGAAAUGCGUUGAUAUCAGAAGGAACGCCGGUGGCGAAAGCGAAGGACUGGACAUCUUCUGACGCUGAGGCGCGAAAGCUAGGGGAGCAAACGGG